AUGGCUCAGGAUGAACGCUAGCGGCAGGCUUAACACAUGCAAGUCGAGGGGCAGCGCGGUGUAGCAAUACACUGGCGGCGACCGGCAAAAGGGUGCGUAACACGUGAGCAACCUGCCCGUCACAGGGGGAUAAGCGCUGGAAACGGCGUCUAAUACCGCGUAACACAUGGAUUCGCAUGGGUCUAUGUUGAAAAUUUCGAUGGUGACGGAUGGGCUCGCGCAACAUUAGGUAGACGGCGGGGUAACGGCCCACCGUGCCGACGAUGUUUAGGGGUUCUGAGAGGAAGGCCCCCCACACUGGGACUGAGACACGGCCCAGACUCCUACGGGAGGCAGCAGUGAGGAAUAUUGGACAAUGGCCGGAAGGCUGAUCCAGCCAUGCCGCGUGAAGGACUAAAGGCCCUACGGGUCGUAAACUUCUUUUGGCGCAGAGCAAUAAGGGCCACGCGUGGUCCGAUGAGAGUAUGCGUCGAAUAAGCAUCGGCUAACUCCGUGCCAGCCGCUGC
rnacentral:rRNA from 1 species